rnacentral:rRNA from 1 species
UACGUAGGGUGCGAGCGUUAAUCGGAAUUACUGGGCGUAAAGCGUGCGCAGGCGGCGCGUUAAGACAGGUGUGAAAGCCCCGAGCUUAACUUGGGAAUUGCGCUUGUGACUGGCGUGCUGGAGUGUGGCAGAGGGAGGUGGAAUUCCACGUGUAGCAGUGAAAUGCGUAGAUAUGUGGAGGAACACCGAUGGCGAAGGCAGCCCCCCUGGGUCAAAAACUGACGCUCAUGCACGAAAGCGUGGGGAGCAAACAGG